rnacentral:ncRNA from 1 species
ACGGGGGAGCUUGUGAAGCAGGCUGAGAGGAAGUAAUCAACUUCGACCCUUUAACCUGAUGCGGAUAAUGCCGCCGUAGGAAGUCAU